rnacentral:rRNA from 1 species
CCUACGGGUGGCAGCAGUAGGGAAUUUUGCGCAAUGGGGGAAACCCUGACGCAGCAACGCCGCGUGAUCGAUGAAGCUCUUCGGGGUGUAAAGAUCUGUCAGUGGGGACGAAACCUGACGGUACCCACAGAGGAAGCACCGGCUAACUCCGGGCCAGCAGCCGCGGCAAUACGGGGGGGGCAAGCGUUGUCCGGAAUCAUUGGGCGUAAAGAGUCCGUAGGUGGUACGUGAAGUCUGGUGGUAAAGGCGUAGGCUCAACUUCCGUAGGGCACUGGAUACUGGCGAGCUUGAGUGCGGUAGAGGUAAAGGGAAUUCCUGGUGUAGCGGUGAAAUGCGUAGAUAUAAGGAGGAACAUCAGUGGCGUAAGCGCUUUACUGGGCCGUAAUUGACGCUGAGGAGCGAAAGCCGGGGUAGCAAAUGGGAUUAGAUACCCCAGUAGUC